rnacentral:tRNA from 1 species
GCCGGGAUAGCUCAKUUGGUAGAGCAGAGGACUGAAAAUCCUCGUGUC